UCUCACUGGGAGCCUUGGAAACCAGAACGGGGUCCAAAACGAAGUGGACAGGGCUCGUUUCAGACAAGUGACAAGAUUCAAGAUGAAUUUUGCAGUGUUCCUUCGUAUGUGCUUUAUUGGGAAAAGGAAAACGCAUGAGAUAGGAUCAGGAUGAGAAAUGCAGUGAGAAGAAGGACUUGCUCGCUUCAGUGCACUCCCCUUAUUAUCACCAGAUGAAAUUUUCCCUGAGUCACCCAAGGAAGUUGAACACUUGAUGUCGGGUAGACGUGGCCUAAGUGUCAGCUGCUGUACCUAGGAAUCCCAUGAGUAAUAAACAGUAAUGAAGGUGGAGAGCUUGCCCCAGGACAUCGUUUUGGUGAUAGAACUUAUUGGCAAGUGAACACAGAGAAAUGAGUACAAGUAAUUUCAUUAUGCCUGGUGCCACUGUAUUAUCACCUGAAGAAUUUUAAUCCUUAGUAUAACUAACAAUCCUAUUAACAUAAUUUUGACCAUCAACCCAGCUACAUAGGAGGGUAAUUUUAAA